GCUAAGACUGGAUAGGAAGAUAAAAGGCAUCUUUUAUCUUUUAAAAGACCUAGUAAUAGGUAUGCUUUAGGAGGGGCUUGCGCCAUAUUAGUUAGUUGGUAGGGUAAUGGCCUACCAAGACGAUGAUGUGUAGCUGGACUGAGAGGUUGAACAGCCACAUUGGGACUGAGACACGGCCCAAACUCCUACGGGAGGCAGCAGUAGGGAAUUUUCGGCAAUGGAGGAAACUCUGACCGAGCAACGCCGCGUGAAUGACGAAGUACUUCGGUAUGUAAAGUUCUUUUAUCAAGGAAGAAAAGCAAAUGGCGAACCAUUUGUUUGCCGGUACUUGAUGAAUAAGCCCCGGCUAAUUAUGUGCCAGCAGCCGCGGUAAGACAUAAGGGGCAAGUGUUAUCCGGAAUUAUUGGGCGUAAAGGGUGCGUAGGCGGUCUAGUAAGUCAGUGGUGUAAUGGCAACGCUUAACGUUGUCCGGCUAUUGAAACUGCUAAACUUGAGUUAGAUAGAGGCGAGUGGAAUUCCAUGUGUAGCGGUAAAAUGCGUAAAUAUAUGGAGGAACACCAGAGGCGUAGGCGGCUCGCUGGGUCUUAACUGACGCUGAGGCACGAAAGCGUGGGGAGCAAACAGGAUUAGAUACCCUGGUAGUCCACGCCGUAAACGAUGAGUACUAAGUGUCGGGUUAAACCGGUACUGAAGUUAACACAUUAAGUACUCCGCCUGAGUAGUACGUACGCAAGUAUGAAACUUAAAGGAAUUGACGGGACUCCGCACAAGCGGUGGAUCAUGUUGUUUAAUUCGAAGAUACCCGAAAAACCUUACCAGGUCUUGACAUGUUUUUGCAAAAUGAUAGUAAUAUCGUGGAGGUUACCAGAAACACAGGUGGUGCAUGGUUGUCGUCAGCUCGUGUCGUGAGAUGUUAGGUUAAGUCCUAAAACGAGCGAAACCCUUAUCGUUAGUUGCCAGCACGUUAUGGUGGGGACUUUAACGAGACUGCCAAUGAUAAAUUGGAGGAAGGUGAGGAUCACGUCAAAUCAGCAUGCCCCUUAUGACCUGGGCUACAAACGUGAUACAAUGGCUGUUACAAAGGGUAGCUGAAACGCAAGUUCUUGGCCAAUCCCCAAAAACAGUCCCAGUCCGGAUUGAAGUCUGCAACUCGACUUCAUGAAGUUGGAAUCGCUAGUAAUCGCGAAUCAGCAUGUCGCGGUGAAUACGUUCUCGGGGUUUGUACACACCGCCCGUCAAA
rnacentral:rRNA from 1 species